rnacentral:rRNA from 1 species
GUAUGGGUAGCAAACAGGAUUAGAUACCCUGGUAGUCCAUACCGUAAACGAUGAAUGCUAAGUGUUGGAGGGUUUCCCCCUUCAGUGCUGCAGCUAACGCAUUAAGCAUUCCGCCUGGGGAGUACGGCCGCAAGGCUGAAACUCAAAGGAAUUGACGGGGGCCCGCACAAGCGGUGGAGCAUGUGGUUUAAUUCGAAGCUACGCGAAGAACCUUACCAGGUCUUGACAUACUAUGCAAAUCUAAGAGAUUAGACGUUCCCUUCGGGGACAUGGAUACAGGUGGUGCAUGGUUGUCGUCAGCUCGUGUCGUGAGAUGUUGGGUUAAGUCCCGCAACGAGCGCAACCCUUAUUAUCAGUUGCCAGCAUUAAGUUGGGCACUCUGGUGAGACUGCCGGUGACAAACCGGAGGAAGGUGGGGAUGACGUCAAAUCAUCAUGCCCCUUAUGACCUGGGCUACACACGUGCUACAAUGGAUGGUACAACGAGUUGCGAACUCGCGAGAGUAAGCUAAUCUCUUAAAGCCAUUCUCAGUUCGGAUUGUAGGCUGCAACUCGCCUACAUGAAGUCGGAAUCGCUAGUAAUCGCGGAUCAGCAUGCCGCGGUGAAUACGUUCCCGGGCCUUGUACACACCGCCCGUCACACCAUGAGAGUUUGUAACACCCAAAGUCGGUGGGGUAACCUUUAGGAACCAGCCGCCUAAGGUGGGACAGAUGAUUAGGGUGAAGUCGUAACAAGGUAACCA